rnacentral:rRNA from 1 species
UACGGGGGGGGCAAGCGUUGUUCGGAAUUACUGGGCGUAAAGGGCUCGUAGGCGGCCAACUAAGUCGGACGUGAAAUCCCCAGGCUCAACCUGGGAACUGCGUCCGAUACUGGAUGGCUUGAAUCCGGGAGAGGGAUGCAGAAUUCCAGGUGUAGCGGUGAAAUGCGUAGAUAUCUGGAGGAAUACCGGUGGCGAAGGCGGCAUCCUGGACCGGCAUUGACGCUGAGGCGCGAAGGCGUGGGGAGCGAACGGG